CCUACGGGGGGCUGCAGUGAGGAAUAUUGGGCAAUGGGCGAAAGCCUGACCCAGCCAUGCCGCGUGCAGGAUGACGGCCCUACGGGUUGUAAACUGCUUUUAUACAGGAUGAAAAAAACGGACGUGUCCGGAAUUGACAGUACUGUACGAAUAAGCAUCGGCUAACUCCGUGCCAGCAGCCGCGGUAAUACAGAGGAUGCAAGCGUUAUCCGGAUUUAUUGGGUUUAAAGGGUGCGUAGGCGGGAUAGUAAGUCAGUGGUGAAAUCUUUCGGCUUAACCGGAACACUGCCAUUGAUACUGCUUUUCUUGAGUGUAGUUGAGGUGGGCGGAAUGUGUAAUGUAGCGGUGAAAUGCUUAGAUAUUACACAGAACACCAAUUGCGUAGGCAGCUCACUAAACUAUUACUGACGCUGAGGCACGAAAGCGUGGGUAGCGAACAGGAUUAGAUACCCUGGUAGUC
rnacentral:rRNA from 1 species